UACGUAGGGUGCAAGCGUUAAUCGGAAUUACUGGGCGUAAAGCGUGCGCAGGCGGCUUUGCAAGACAGAUGUGAAAUCCCCGGGCUUAACCUGGGAACUGCAUUGGUGACUGCACGGCUAGAGUGUGUCAGAGGGGGGUAGAAUUCCACGUGUAGCAGUGAAAUGCGUAGAGAUGUGGAGGAAUACCGAUGGCGAAGGCAGCCCCCUGGGAUAACACUGACGCUCAUGCACGAAAGCGUGGGGAGCAAACAGG
rnacentral:rRNA from 1 species